GAAAGCUUGCUUUUGAUGGGCGUCGACCGGCGCACGGGUGAGUAACGCGUAUCCAACCUGCCCACCACUUGGGGAUAACCUUGCGAAAGUAAGACUAAUACCCAAUGACGUCUCUAGAAGACAUCUGAAGGAGAUUAAAGAUUUAUCGGUGAUGGAUGGGGAUGCGUCUGAUUAGCUUGUUGGCGGGGUAACGGCCCACCAAGGCGACGAUCAGUAGGGGUUCUGAGAGGAAGGUCCCCCACAUUGGAACUGAGACACGGUCCAAACUCCUACGGGAGGCAGCAGUGAGGAAUAUUGGUCAAUGGGCGAGAGCCUGAACCAGCCAAGUAGCGUGCAGGAUGACGGCCCUAUGGGUUGUAAACUGCUUUUAUAAGGGAAUAAAGUGAGCCUCGUGAGGCUUUUUGCAUGUACCUUAUGAAUAAGGACCGGCUAAUUCCGUGCCAGCAGCCGCGGUAAUACGGAAGGUCCGGGCGUUAUCCGGAUUUAUUGGGUUUAAAGGGAGCGUAGGCCGGAGAUUAAGCGUGUUGUGAAAUGUAGAUGCUCAACAUCUGCACUGCAGCGCGAACUGGUUUCCUUGAGUACGCACAAAGUGGGCGGAAUUCGUGGUGUAGCGGUGAAAUGCUUAGAUAUCACGAAGAACUCCGAUUGCGAAGGCAGCUCACUGGAGCGCAACUGACGCUGAAGCUCGAAAGUGCGGGUAUCGAACAGGAUUAGAUACCCUGGUAGUCCGCACGGUAAACGAUGGAUGCCCGCUGUUGGUCUGAAUAGGUCAGCGGCC
rnacentral:rRNA from 1 species